ensembl:lncRNA
GGCGGAACAAGUUGAAUAGUUAUGUCUAUAAGCAUGUUGGAAGUCUGUGUUCAAGCAGUUACAGUCAAAGUAUUCCUGUUUUUGUAAGUGGAUUAUUCUCUCCAUCAGUUAACUAAGUACUGGGAGAAUAGUGAUAUGUCUACUGUUCUUCCCAGUGAGUUCUUGCCUGCCAUCUUUAGGUUUCCAUAGAUCAUGGUUCUAUCUGGACCCUGUUCCUGUCUCCUGCCCUGCUGACAACUGCUGCUGCUAUCAUCAUCAUUAUUAUUAUUUUAAAUAUUAAUCACAUUACUAUUACUGUCAUCAUAAACCAACAUUGCUUCUCUUUGUCCUUUCCCUCCUCACACACGCUUCUGUGGAUGGUGGUUAUAUCUGAUAGUGGUUCUCCCUGCAGUGGUCCUGCCGUACACCUUGCGUACUUCUCGGAAUAUCGGAAUAAUUCCUGUUCAUAGGAAUUGAAUGUCUCGUACAUCUUUUUCGUUGUUCAUUCUGUACACAUGACAUCCAUUGUUGUCUGUCCAUCCCCGUGAGAGGGAUCCCUCCUUUGACGUUCUCCGUAACGUUUCUUCCUUUUUUUCGCCAUGGAAGGGUUUAUUUUGGGGGGGGGGAGAUUUUCCUGUGCCGAUGUGAGGGUUUCGGGACAGAGGAUGUCGCUUGUGUACAGACUGUAAAGCCCUCUGAGGCCAAUUUGUACUUUGCAAUUUUGUGCUAUCCAAAAUAAAAUGUAUUUAAUUGUACUUAAUAUAGUACAUUAUAUUGUAGGAUUAUUGUAUUCUCAAUUCACUACCAAGGACCACGCCACUGCGUUGAACGUUUUUUUUUAUGAUCUUGCAAUAAUCUGCCUGCCCUAGAAGAGAAUUCCGUUAAUCACUACUAGAUUUUACAUCAAUGCAUCCAAAGAUUUAACUUCAUGCUGGUAGAUAAGGGGACAGGCUGAUAAAGGCCAAUAAAAUACAUCUGGUUAGGACCACGAAUGCCUUUGCAAAAUUUCACGUAGAAAUCCAUCCAAUAGAGCAGUGUCAUCACAAAACUAGAAGGUGUGAUGGUGAACCAUUGUUCACUCAGUGUGGUGUACUUUGCUACAACUGGCAAACCAACGAUCCCAACGCAAGAUGAUACGUUUAUGAAAACUAAAGUUACAAAGUAAAUAACACUAACACGGCACACUGUCAUUAAACUAGCCCUGUCUCCCAUCUCAAGUUGCGGUGUAUUCCUAACUCCACAAUCCAUCCACAUCAACAAUAGCA